rnacentral:rRNA from 1 species
AGUGAACGCUGGCGGUAGGCCUAACACAUGCAAGUCGAACGGCAGCACAGUAAGAGCUUGCUCUUACGGGUGGCGAGUGGCGGACGGGUGAGGAAUACAUCGGAAUCUACUUUUUCGUGGGGGAUAACGUAGGGAAACUUACGCUAAUACCGCAUACGACCUACGGGUGAAAGCAGGGGAUCUUCGGACCUUGCGCGAUUGAAUGAGCCGAUGUCGGAUUAGCUAGUUGGCGGGGUAAAGGCCCACCAAGGCGACGAUCCGUAGCUGGUCUGAGAGGAGGAUCAGACACACUUGAACUGAGACACGGUCCAGACUCCUACGGGAGGCAGCAGUGGGGAAUAUUGGACAGUGGGCGCAAGCCUGAUCCAGCCAUACCGCGUGGGUGAAGAAGGCCUUCGGGUUGUAAAGCCCUUUUGUUGGGAAAGAAAAGCAGCAGGUUAAUACCCCGCUGUUCUGACGGUACCCAAAGAAUAAGCACCGGCUAACUUCGUG